rnacentral:rRNA from 1 species
GAUGAACGCUGGCGGCGUGCCUAAUACAUGCAAGUCGAGCGAACAGACGAGGAGCUUGCUCCUCUGACGUUAGCGGCGGACGGGUGAGUAACACGUGGAUAACCUACCUAUAAGACUGGGAUAACUUCGGGAAACCGGAGCUAAUACCGGAUAAUAUAUUGAACCGCAUGGUUCAAUAGUGAAAGACGGUUUUGCUGUCACUUAUAGAUGGAUCCGCGCCGCAUUAGCUAGUUGGUAAGGUAACGGCUUACCAAGGCAACGAUGCGUAGCCGACCUGAGAGGGUGAUCGGCCACACUGGAACUGAGACGCGGUCCAGACUCCUACGGGAGGCAGCAGUAGGGAAUCUUCCGCAAUGGGCGAAAGCUUGACGGAGCAACGCCGCGUGAGUGAUGAAGGUCUUCGGAUCGUAAAACUCUGUUAUUAGGGAAGAACAAAUGUGUAAGUAACUAUGCACGUCUUGGCGGUACCUAAUCAGAAAGCCACGGCUAACUACGUG